UACGUAGGGGCCCAGCGUUGUCCGGAAUCAUUGGGCGUAAAGCGCGCGUAGGCGGCCAGACAAGUCCGGUGUGAAAGUCACAGGCUCAACCUGUGAAUGCCGCUGGAAACUGUCUGGCUAGAGUCCGGGAGAGGUGAGUGGAAUUCCUAGUGUAGAGGUGAAAUUCGUAGAUAUUCGGAAGAACACCAGUGGCGAAGGCGGCUCACUGGUCCGGUACUGACGCUGAGGAGCGAAAGCGUGGGGAGCGAACAGG
rnacentral:rRNA from 1 species